UACGUAGGGGGCAAGCGUUGUUCGGAAUCACUGGGCGUAAAGGGAGCGUAGGCGGAGUCGUAAGUUAGGAGUUUAAUCACCGGGCUUAACCCGGGGCUGGCUUUUAAUACUGCGAUUCUUGAGUAGGGAAGAGGGAGAUAGAAUUCCAGGUGUAGCGGUGGAAUGCGUAGAUAUCUGGAAGAAUACCAGUAGCGAAGGCGGUCUCCUGGUACCAUACUGACGCUGAGGCUCGAAAGUUAGGGGAG
rnacentral:rRNA from 1 species